UCCAUACGCGAAAUCUAUCUGUUAUUAAGAAGAAACGAUAAAAUUAUUUUAAUCGUAUUCACAUGUUUUUGUGACAAUACAUCGGACUUUCCUCGGAGAUUUCGAGACUCUCAAGGAUCAUUAAAUAGCAGCUAUAUUCUACAUUCAAGCACUAUUAGGAUGGGAAAUCAAAAUUGUUUUAUAAAUCUAAAAGUUUGAUCCUUGACUACAGCCAUAUAAUCCUCGUAAAUAAGAUUUUCUCGUUUCUCCGUAAUAACAUUCAUUUCUUCGCUGUAAGAGAUUAUACUAUUAUUCUUAUAUUUAGUGUAUUUAUUUAUUAUAUUUAUACACAUCGGUCAAAGAAAGCACGUUCUUUUCAGACUGAAUUUAUCUAAUUAUGACGUAUUUGUGCGGAAAACUUGAAAUAUCAGCUGGUGACAAUUAGCAUUUUACGUUUGUUUGUUUUUUGUUUGUUUUGUUGUUUUACCUGAAGAUAUAUAAUAAAAGCUUCAUACGGAACUCUGCUUAGACCCAACGAUGUCUGACUGAGAAGAUUGUUGUUCUUACUGCAGCAUUUGUGACUGUAAUAUGGAUUGCCAGUCUCUCUGCGAACCAUGUUUUGAUUAUAAUCAACAUCGCCAUGGAAGAGACAGUGAUGGUUUCCCUGUGCAAAGGUUUAAGCGUUGUAAAAUAAAUGAACUAUGAUGAA